rnacentral:lncRNA from 1 species
GCUCUUAGUGUCACUGCUAGCAUGGGCAUUGUAUUUAACGCCAUUAGUUUCAAUUUUAAUUAACUAAACUUUGCAUAAAAUGCUCUUGGGAGGUCUUUGAACUCUUAGAUCCAGUUUGAUAACUGUUUUUAAAUGAUUAAAAACGUUUUUAAAAUUAACAUACAUUUUUAAUUAAAACGCUAGUUAUGUGUUUUUGCUAAAAUCAAUUUAAGUGUUUUUUUUUAAAUUUACUUGUAUUUUUACUAAAAUUUGAUUUUAAAAUAUUUUAUCUAGAAACUUUUUGUCAAUUAAAGUACUUGCCAAAGGAAACUUUAAUCGUCACGAUUUGUCAUUGAUUGGAAUUUUACAGUUGCAGCUGUCACCACUCACCUCACCCUAAACCUUAACUUAGAUACCAGUUAACUCAAAUCGAAACAUGUUGAGAUAGAUAUCUCUUUAACUUUUUUCGUCCCUUACAAUCUUAAAUAAUAUAUAAUCGGACAUGCUACUUCUUUUGUAAUAAUGCUGGACAGAUUAAUUAUACAAAAAAUCAAUCAAAUUAAAUUAUUUUCACCCGUUUAGUGUUUAAGUGAGAAACAUGAUUCGUCUAUCUAUUGAAUGAAUACUAGAUGAUUAAACAAAUUUAAUAAACACUUUGCAUAGAUGAUAUUUAAUGAGUUAAAAUGUAGACAAUAUAAUCAUCAUGCAAUAUUAGAGAUUAAAAAAGAAACCGAUAAAGUAGAACAAGAAGGUUCGUAGCAUUCCUCUUCUUGGCAAUUAGCCACAUCGAUAGUCAAUAUAAAAAAGUAGACUAUAGAAAAAGUCAUCAUGCCGAUUUAAUGUUCGAUCCAGACCUUGUUGACCUUUUGAGACGAAAGCAAACAAAUUUUUUCCUUGUAUUUCUAUUCGUUUGGAGUGCAUAAUUUGAACUAUUUUUCUCAAUAAACAUUAUCCCCAUAAAAGAUAUAAGUAAAUUCUUUUCAAUGAUACGUAAAAUGUAUGAGAUUAAAAAUAUAAAAUUAGCAGUUGUGCAAAUCGAAUUUAAUUGCUAAAAUACUCAUGGCACUAAGUGUUACUGGCAUUGAAAUCACACUAGACAUUAAAAUCUUUCUUCUGAUGUUAAUUUUUUUUUGAAUUAAUUAUGUUUAAUUAAUAAGGUUUUACUUUUUAAAUUAGUUAAGAAAAGAAAAGUCUGCAAGUUUGACAAACUUUUCUCCAGUCAAACUAUGUUUACUCGUUCAAGGACAACAAUAAUCUUUGCCUUCAACCCACGAUUCAAGCUAGAAAAACAAUAUUUUUAUAUUUGGUCAUGUUUUAUCACUAUCCCAAUUUGUUUUUUCAACACAUCCGUUCUCUCAAAUUGACCUUGACACUAGGGGAUGUGACCAACAACAAAUCCAAUUAAAAGAGUACAAUAGUGUUUUUUUAAUUUUUAAUUUUUUUAAUUUCUAAAAGCUCACGAAAAUUUUAUCAUGAUCUCUCCGUUGUAGCUUCUACGAUUUAUAGUAGAAGAGAUGUCACCGAGAUUUUUAUAUUUUGAUAAAAAGUACGAUAUUUAUUAAUGAACGAGAAAAGAGUAUAAAAGAUUUAAAGGAGUGAUUUUUGAAAGAAAAAAAAAACAUGCCCGAACUUUCAAUGCGGAAUCAAGAAAAAAAAAGAGUCACCAAUACAUCAAAGUAAGAAAGAAACAUUCAAAUAGACUUAUCCUCAAUCAAAGCAUUUGCAACUACAUCGGAUGG